rnacentral:rRNA from 1 species
ACAGCAGCCGCCGCGGUAAUACAGAGGGUGCGAGCGUUAAUCGGAUUUACUGGGCGUAAAGCGUGCGUAGGCGGCUUUUUAAGUCGGAUGUGAAAUCCCUGAGCUUAACUUAGGAAUUGCAUUCGAUACUGGGAAGCUAGAGUAUGGGAGAGGAUGGUAGAAUUCCAGGUGUAGCGGUGAAAUGCGUAGAGAUCUGGAGGAAUACCGAUGGCGAAGGCAGCCAUCUGGCCUAAUACUGACGCUGAGGUACGAAAGCAUGGGGAGCAAACAGGAUUAGAUACCCCAGUAGUCCCUGUCUCUUAUAA